rnacentral:tRNA from 1 species
GCGCCGUUCGUCUAGAUGGUAGGACACGAGCUCCCCAAGCUCGGAGCGUGGGUUCAAAUCCCGCACGGCGCA